AAGUCGUAACAAGGUUUCCGUAGGUGAACCUGCGGAAGGAUCAUUACCGAGUUCGUGCCCUACGGGGUAGCUCUCCCACCCCUGUGUACCUGACCGAUGUUGCUUUGGUAGGCUGUCCGACUCGGCCACUGGCGCUCGCUGGUGUAUGCCUGCCAGAGGUCCCCCAACCCCCAAUCCCCGUCCGUCUGAGUCCCUACGAAUCGUGAAAACUUUCAACAACGGAUCUCUUGGCUCUG
rnacentral:misc_RNA from 1 species